GACGAACGCUGGCGGCGUGCUUAACACAUGCAAGUCGAACGGAAAGGCCCUGCUUUUGUGGGGUGCUCGAGUGGCGAACGGGUGAGUAACACGUGAGUAACCUGCCCUUGACUUUGGGAUAACUUCAGGAAACUGGGGCUAAUACCGGAUAGGAGCUCCUGCUGCAUGGUGGGGGUUGGAAAGUUUCGGCGGUUGGGGAUGGACUCGCGGCUUAUCAGCUUGUUGGUGGGGUAGUGGCUUACCAAGGCUUUGACGGGUAGCCGGCCUGAGAGGGUGACCGGCCACAUUGGGACUGAGAUACGGCCCAGACUCCCACGGGAGGCAGCAGUGGGGAAUAUUGCACAAUGGGCGGAAGCCUGAUGCAGCAACGCCGCGUGCGGGAUGACGGCCUUCGGGUUGUAAACCGCUUUCGCCUGUGACGAAGCGUGAGUGACGGUAAUGGGUAAAGAAGCACCGGCUAACUACGUGCCAGCAGCCGCGGUGAUACGUAGGGUGCGAGCGUUGUCCGGAUUUAUUGGGCGUAAAGGGCUCGUAGGUGGUUGAUCGCGUCGGAAGUGUAAUCUUGGGGCUUAACCCUGAGCGUGCUUUCGAUACGGGUUGACUUGAGGAAGGUAGGGGAGAAUGGAAUUCCUGGUGGAGCGGUGGAAUGCGCAGAUAUCAGGAGGAACACCAGUGGCGAAGGCGGUUCUCUGGGCCUUUCCUGACGCUGAGGAGCGAAAGCGUGGGGAGCGAACAGGCUUAGAUACCCUGGUAGUCCACGCUGUAAACGGUGGGUACUAGGUGUGGGGUCCAUUCCACGGGUUCCGUGCCGUAGCUAACGCUUUAAGUACCCCGCCUGGGGAGUACGGCCGCAAGGCUAAAACUCAAAGGAAUUGACGGGGCCCCGCACAAGCGGCGGAGCAUGCGGAUUAAUUCGAUGCAACGCGUAGAACCUUACCUGGGUUUGACAUGGAUCGGGAGUGCUCAGAGAUGGGUGUGCCUCUUUUGGGGUCGGUUCACAGGUGGUGCAUGGCUGUCGUCAGCUCGUGUCGUGAGAUGUUGGGUUAAGUCCCGCAACGAGCGCAACCCUUGUUCACUGUUGCCAGCACGUUAUGGUGGGGACUCAGUGGAGACCGCCGGGGUCAACUCGGAGGAAGGUGGGGAUGACGUCAAGUCAUCAUGCCCCUUAUGUCCAGGGCUUCACGCAUGCUACAAUGGCUGGUACAGAGAGUGGCGAGCCUGUGAGGGUGAGCGAAUCUCGGAAAGCCGGUCUCAGUUCGGAUUGGGGUCUGCAACUCGACCUCAUGAAGUCGGAGUCGCUAGUAAUCGCAGAUCAGCAACGCUGCGGUGAAUAAAUUCCCGGG
rnacentral:rRNA from 1 species